rnacentral:sRNA from 1 species
UAAUUGGAGUUUAUAUGGGCGUAUUUA